rnacentral:rRNA from 1 species
UCUCCCAGUAACGGCGAGUGAACGGAGAUUAGCCCAGCGCCGAAGCCUAUCUGCAUUUGUGGACAGGGCAAUGUGGCGUUUAGACGUGAACCUGGGGAUGCUUGUCUACUCCAAAGUCCGGCUCCGAAUAUGGCUUGGAUUUGUUCUAUAAAGGGUGAAAGCCCCGUACGGGUAGACAUUUCGUAUAGAAAGCAUCCUCUAGAUGUUUAUGUCUUUGAGUCGGAUUGCUUGAGAAUGCAGUCCAAAGAGGGUGGUAAACUCCAUCCAAGGCUAAAUACCUGCACGAGUCCGAUAGUAGACAAGUACCGCGAGGGAAAGUUGAAAAGUA